GACGAACGCUGGCGGCGUGCCUAAUACAUGCAAGUUGAGCGCUGAAGGUUGGUACUUGUACCAACUGGAUGAGCAGCGAACGGGUGAGUAACGCGUGGGGAAUCUGCCUUUGAGCGGGGGACAACAUUUGGAAACGAAUGCUAAUACCGCAUAAAAACUUUAAACACAAGUUUUAAGUUUGAAAGAUGCAAUUGCAUCACUCAAAGAUGAUCCCGGGUUGUAUUAGCUAGUUGGUGAGGUAAAGGCUCACCAAGGCGAUGAUACAUAGCCGACCUGAGAGGGUGAUCGGCCACAUUGGGACUGAGACACGGCCCAAACUCCUACGGGAGGCAGCAGUAGGGAAUCUUCGGCAAUGGACGAAAGUCUGACCGAGCAACGCCGCGUGAGUGAAGAAGGUUUUUGGAUCGUAAAACUCUGUUGGUAGAGAAGAACGUUGGUGAGAGUGGAAAGCUCAUCAAGUGACGGUAACUACCCAGAAAGGGACGGCUAACUACGUGCCAGCCGCCGCCGUAA
rnacentral:rRNA from 1 species